rnacentral:lncRNA from 1 species
UCUUGCCUCGGGCUCGCCCCGCCCUGCCCCGCGAGCAGCCCCCUCCCUGUUUCCCCUCAGCAGUUCCAAACUGGCAGCCCAGAAGCCACUAGGGCCAGAUACUCGACUCCCCGGGAAUCAUCAGGCACAUCUAGUUCCAUGAAGAAGUUGUGUGAUUUUAAAGGUUUGUAAAUACAGCAUUAGAUUAGGAUAUAUCCCAUCCUCUCAUCUUUGUAUUUUUGUGAAUUAUAGAUUUUGAAAUCCUGGGUUGCUCU